rnacentral:rRNA from 1 species
GACGAACGCUGGCGGCGUGCUUAACACAUGCAAGUCGAACGGGAUCCAUGCUCAACACCGAGCGAUUGGGGGAAAGGCAGAGGUGCUGUAGAACGGGUUAGCGAAGAGGAGAGUUGCUAACUGAGGCGCUCCAAUUGUUGGGAGUUGAGCAUGGUGAGAGUGGCGGACGGGUGAGUAACGCGUGAGUAACUCCCCUUGGGGAGGGGGAUAACCAUCUGAAAAGGUGGCUAAUACCCCAUAUUCUCUUUUCUCAUAAGAGGAAGGAGGAAAGGUGGCGCAAGCUGCCACCCCGAGAGAGGCUCGCGUCCCAUCAGCUAGUUGGUAGGGUAAUGGCCUACCAAGGCUAUGACGGGUAGCUGGUCUGAGAGGAUGGUCAGCCACACUGGGACUGAGACACGGCCCAGACUCCUACGGGAGGCAGCAGUGAGGAAUCUUGGGCAAUGGGCGAAAGCCUGACCCAGCGACGCCGCGUGGAGGAAGAAGGCCUCGGGUCGUAAACUCC